rnacentral:rRNA from 1 species
UACCAGACUCCUACGGGAGGCAGCAGUGGGGGAUAUUGCACAAUGGGGGGAACCCUGAUGCAGCGACGCCGCGUGGGUGAAGAAGUAUUUCGGUAUGUAAAGCCCUAUCGGCAGGGAAGAAAUUGGACGGUACCUGACUAAGAAGCCCUGACUAACUACGUGCCAGCAGCCGCGGUAAUACGUAGGGGGCGAGCGUUAUCCGGAAUUACUGGGUGUAAAGGGAGCGUAGACGGCGAGGUAAGCCUGAAGUGGAAGCCCGCGGCCCAACCGCGGAACUGCUUUGGGAACUGUUUUGCUGGAGUAUGGGAGGGGUAAGCGGAAUUCCUGGUGUAGCGGUGAAAUGCGUAGAUAUUAGGAGGAACGCCGGCGGCGAAGGCGGCCUGCUGGACCGUAACUGACGUUGAGGCUCGAAAGCGUGGGGAGCAAACAGGAUUAGAUACCCCCGUAA